rnacentral:lncRNA from 1 species
GUGAAUUAGUGAACACAGGAGCAGUCCCCUGCCUGCUGUUCUCCUGGGGAUGAGCCAGCUGGUUUCUCCAAAGAAGUCACAUGAUUCAAAGGCAUCCAGGAAAUCUGACAGCCUGCUGAGGUGCCGCAAAGAGACAGGAGCAAACGAAAGUUAUUCCGCAGAUUUCCCAUUCCCAGGGCAUCCCUUGUCCAGGCGGGUGGAACCACAUCAUGUGCAAGGGGGCGGUCAUUAACGGGGCGAUCAUUAACGGGGCAAUCAUUAACAGGGUGUUCAUUUGUGUUCCAGGUGGUCAGCUCGACCAACGGGGAGCUGAACGUGGACGACCCGACGGGGGCACACUCCAACGCGCCGAUAACAGCGCAGGCGGAGGUGGAGGUGGUGGAGGAAGCGAACUGCCUGAAAAUGCUCAACUUGUGGUGCUGCUGCUUCUUUAAGAGGAAACGGAAGAAGACGGCUCAGCGCCACAAGUGACCGGUGCCUCCUGGGCCUUGCAGGAACCACCUCGCCUGCAGCUCCUGCCCUGUCUCACUGGAAGGGGCUUCUCUUUAGGGGGGAGGAGGAGGAGGCAUAGGAGGAAGAGAGAAAGAAAGAAAAAAAAAAAAACAAAACAAAACAAAACAAAAAGUGACAUUUUAAACCAAAAAGAGAAGAAAACGUUCCAAAACAAACCA